CCUGCUGUUCCUCACCCAGGAUCACCAAGGUCUCUCCUACCCCGGGGCCUGUGCACCUGCUGUGCCUCUGCUUGGGGUGCUCUUCCCAGGGCUUGCCCACCUCCUCAGAGAGGCCUCCUGACCCCUGACACGGCCUUGCCCUUCACCUCUAUCGUCCUUUAGAACAGCCCCCACCUCCCGCACAUCAUGCAGUUGCAGGUUCAAUGGCUACUGCUUGUCCUCCAGACUCCAACCUUCAUGCUUGGUCAAGCAAAGGUGUUGCUUAAGUCAAACCCAGGGCAGGGGAGAGCAGUUGAAGCAAAGUGAGUCUUUGGAGGCCCUGUGGUUGUGGGGUCUGGUGUGGAGACAGUGAGAACGGAAAAGGUGGGAGAGGAGCAGUCAACCCGUGAAUGGCCCCAUUCAGACGCCUUUACCUGGAAGACGUGGCAGGUCUACUGGGGUUCAUCCCAUCUGAGCCAGGCCUGGCUUUUCUUGGCUGCAAGCUGAGAGCUGGGUCCAGGUCUGCUGAACCAAGGUUCUCCCAUCUUCCUUGAGCCAGUGACAAUCAGAGGCCUAUUUCUUUCAUGACGGAAGGCAGGAGAACAAGCAGGCAAGACCAGCUGUGCUAGCACAUGGCACCCCUUUCCCACAUCACACCUGCUAACAUCCCAUUGUUCAAAGCAAGUAACACAACCAAACCCAAUAUCAACAGGACAAGAAAACAGACUCCACCUCUAGGUGCACAAACUACAGAGUCACGGACAGAGAACACAGAUCUAGGGAAGGAAGCUGGAGAAUGAGAACAAUGACCCUCAAUAACACAACCUCCCACAGGUUUCCAAAUCCCCAACCUGAGCAUAUUUCCAAGGAAACGGAAUCAUGGGUUCAGGGUUUUAGAGCAAGCAAUUUCUGCUCUCCCAGCUUAGUUUCCAUACCCUUAACACAGGGGCAAUGACGUCGCAUCGAAUCAUAUCUUAUAAGUCUGUGAUGAUGUUUCAACAACUGAACGCCAGAAAAGUGCUUAGAGCAAGGCCAGGUAGGAGGGACAGAAGCCAAUAAUAAUGAGUAGCAUCACUGUUAACCCGCAAAAUUCUGGGAAUUUCCUCGAAAGUCUAAUUAGAGAAUCAUGUCCCCAACAA
ensembl:lncRNA LINC00494 long intergenic non-protein coding RNA 494